GUUUUAAUAGUUUAAUAAUAAAACAUUGGUCUUGUAAACCAAAAUUAAGUCUUACUUUUAAAACU
rnacentral:tRNA from 1 species